GCUGGGCGUGGUGGCGCACACCUGUAAUCCCAGCUACUUGGGAGGCUGAGGCAAAAGAAUCUCUUGAACCCGGGAAGCGGAGGUUGCAGUGAGCUGAGAUAGUGCCACUGCACUCCAGCCUGGGUGACAGAGUGAGAAUGUGUCUCAG
ensembl:misc_RNA Metazoa_SRP Metazoan signal recognition particle RNA